rnacentral:rRNA from 1 species
UACGAGGGGGGCAAAUGUUGUUCGGAAUUACUGGGCGUAAAGCGCGCGUAGGCGGCUUUGUAAGUUAGAGGUGAAAGCCCGGGGCUCAACCCCGGAACUGCCUUUAAGACUGCAUCGCUUGAAUCCGGGAGAGGUGAGUGGAAUUCCGAGUGUAGAGGUGAAAUUCGUAGAUAUUCGGAAGAACACCAGUGGCGAAGGCGGCUCACUGGACCGGUAUUGACGCUGAGGUGCGAAAGCGUGGGGAGCAAACAGG